GACGUAGGUGGCGAACGUUAUCCGGAAUCAUUGGGCGUAAAGGGUGCGUAGAUGGCCUGAUAAGUUAGCAGUGGGAAAUCGAGGCUCAACCUCGUGGAAGCUGGUAAUACUGUCAGGCUCGAGUGCAGGAGAGGUUAACGGAACUCCAUGUGGAGCGGUAAAAUGUGUAGAUAUAUGGAAGAACAUCAAUAACGGCGAAGGCAGUUAACUAUUCUGUUACUGACGUUGAGGCACGAAAGCGUGGGGAGCAAACGG
rnacentral:rRNA from 1 species